rnacentral:lncRNA from 1 species
GGUAGCGAAGGGCUGGAGGCAAACACCGAGCUCCCCCUGAGCCGCCUGGGAGCAGGGAGGGUUCUGCUACCCUGAGGGGCCCUCCCCGCGGGGCAGAGGGGUUUCCUCAGCAGUGCCCCGGAGCAGGGACCGCGCCAGCCAGCAGAAACAGCUAGUUGUUGUCUGCAGUGAAGAAUAAUUGGAAGCAUGGUGCCUGUUUCUUUUCCUCUCAUCCUCGUCUACGGCCAAACGUUGGUUUCUCAUUUCUAGAAGAUGAAAGAUGUGAUGACUCAGGAAAAACUGGAAUCUUAGUAACUGUGGUGGGCAUUGAGCCUUGCCGUCCACAAGAGAAAGCUUGCUGCUCGAGAUGUGAGUCUUCAGAUGUUCCUGCCGCCAUAUCUGACAGCUGCUGCCAAGAUUCCCUGGUGGGAUGGACUCUUAUACCUCAACAACCAGAAGCCCAAGAUAGUCUCGCGUCCAGAAGGUCACAAGGGCACCUGGAGGGCAUCAUUUCAGUUCUUCGUGCCACCCACAUCCUUGAGUAUGUCUCCUGAGACACAUAUGGGAGUCUGUCUGGGGUAUAGAUUAGGAUGGAAAUUGCCCCAAAUUGAUAUGUACCUUUGACUUUACCAGGUUGCUUUAGAGGCUAUUCUGCACAGUAGUAGCUUAACCAUAUUUUUCCCCCUCUCUCAUCAAUGAUUUAUGAGAGUGUCUCUUGCUCCACGCUGAGAACCAAUGCCACCAAGUCUGUAAAGUCAUCAGGCUGGAGAGAUUGCUUAGUGGGCAAAGAACCUUGCUGGUGAGCCUGACACCCUGAGUUCCAUGUCCCAGACCCACACAGUGAGAGAAGACUUCCUCAUGUUGUCCUCUAAUCACCACACCUGUGCUAAGGCCCACAUCCGCUACAUGAAUACAUGUAAUUAUUAGGAAAUAAACAUCUACCUGGGGCUCUCAUAGAUUCUAAUAGCAUAGCUUAAGAGG